CGUUGACCCACCGCCUCACGUAAGAUCACCGAAGUUAAGCAACGUCGAGCCUGGUCAAUACCUAGAUGGGUGACUGCUUAGAAAUACCAGGUGCUGUAAG
rnacentral:rRNA from 1 species